ACGUCAGGACCCCGCCACCCCACUCUGCCCCUCCACCCGAGGCUGCCUUAUCCUUUUGCUUUCUCUCUUAAAUCUGCUGCCCGUUACUGCUAUUCUACCCUUUGGUAGGUGUCAACAGAUGUUCACACUUUCCUUUCUUUCUGAUGGUGGUCAGGAAACCUAGCACUCCACCUAAGGCGAAGAAGCCGGGCGUUUGUCUGUUGUGAGUGAGUGACAAGGGCGGAGGAGGCGUGCCAGGCUGGCUGCAGUACCAUUCCCUGAGUCUGGCACUGCCUGAAGGGAGCCCUGCCGGUCACAUCAGACGUUCCUAAGGGGCCUGGAGUGAAAGGUGCUUGCAGGGAGCAAGUGAAAGUGGCGCCCCCACCCAGUCUGCCCAUUCCACCUCUCUUUAUACUGAUGAGAGAAGCCAAAGGGAGGCAACAAGGAAAAGAAGAGAAACUGGAAGCUGGGAUGAUUGACAGACUAGAAUGACAGGCUGCUGAAACUGAAUGAAACCCCAGAAGUUAUCAAUUCAUCCUUCACUUUUUGAGUUUUUAUUGAAGUAUGUUAUAAUUAUAGAAAAGUGCACACAUUAGACACACAGUUUGGUAAACUUUCAUAAACCAACCACAGCCAUAGCAUCAGCACUCAAAUGGAGAAACCAAAAGCGGCAGCACCCUGGGAGCUCCCGGAGCGCUUCUGCUGUCGGACUCCUCCCCGGUAACACAUACAGUGUGUCUAACAUAUAUUGGUUUUGCCAGCUUUGUACAUUAGCUAAAUUGAGUGUCACAGUAUGUGUUUAUAUCUGGUUUCUUUCCUUCAACGUCAUGUUUGUGAAAUUUAUUCACACGGUUGUGUGCAGCUAUGUUGUUCCUGCUCACAGCAGUUUUGUGCCCUUGGGUGAAAACACCACAUUUUCUAUUGGAGGCUGCAUAGCUGUCUGAAGUUGCACGUGAGUGUGGGACCCAGCACAGGAGGCCCAACUGGACUCCUGCCCAGUGCUCAUGUCACUACCUCACACUACCCACCUUCAACAUUAAGUUCUACAUGCUAUGCUGUGCAUACCUGUCACAUUCCCUUGAAUUAGGACGGAAGCUGGAUUCACCCCAUGUGCAGAGUGGGGUUAAUAAAAGCAAGUUUUGGCAAUAUACUCCUUCCAUGGCACAUAAACUUCAAGUCACAAAUCUGGAUGUGCAUAAAGGUGUUAACACCAAGAGUUGGGGUAAUAUUUCAUCUGCUCUGAAUGCAAUCUCUAUUUCUGGAUGUAUUCAUUUGGCAGGGAGUUCUGCCACUUAAGAGCUAGAGUCGAUUCUCCAGGGAGGCAAGGGGAUUUUUUUCCUGGAGAGCCAUCUUGAGACUGAGAAUACAUCAACGAACUCUGCUCUUAGCAGUACAGGUCAAGUGUUGGAGGCAGUGGAGGUCAAUGUCUUGCUGAGCCAAUGUGAGCCUUCUGUGGGGCCUGGCAAAGCUAGACAUUCCCUCUCUGCAGCUCUGCAACCUUUCUUCCCCCAUAACGUGCCUCUCACAUCCCGUCCCCAAGGAGCCACUUAUUCCCAUGACAGGUUUAUGGUCUAGUUGAACCAGCUGCCCCUCUGGCCAUGUGCACAGUUAGAGAGGCAGGGGCCUCUAGUCAUUCUCUCUCCCUCUGCCCUGGCGUCAGCCACAAAUUCCAGCAGGCUCAUUAAAGUGUCCACCUGUCUGAGCACCUCAUCAGAAGGAUUCAAUGGCUGCAGAACCUCGCUGCUCCCUCCACCUGGAGCGGGGCUGACCCUGCAGUGGCGCGUUUGGCCUGAGCCCCUUUCGUUUUUACCCUCAGGAAGCUUGGGGGCUGCGCAGGCCAGGGCUCUGCCUGGGCUCUGAAUGCUGGAGAGAAGGAGGAGAGAGGAAGUGGGAGAGGAUGUAGUAGUUUCCCCUGUCUACUUUCUCUACCUUCUUUUCUCCUCUACCCUCCCUUUCCAAGCUCAACUUCCUUGACAGUAUUAAGGAAAUACCUUUUUUAGUUACCAAAAUAAGUUGCUCUGUGGAGAAUUUCUGAUGAUCUCAUGGUGAUUUUCCUGCACCCGGAAGACACUUUGCUUUGCUUUGGGACCAUGGAUAUUCCUUGGGGCAGCCACCAAGGAUGAAUAAGGUUUGAAUGGGGAGGCACUGGCCUCGGAGCUCCUUGCUGCUGACAUCAGUUGUGCCCUUGUAGGAGACGUCCUGGUCCUGUCUGCCUCAGAGGCUUCCAUCUGCGGAUUUCCUGAGGUCGUCCCCUUACUCCUCUGCUGCAGUCUCUCUCAACAUUUCAACUGUCUGCUCCAGAAAGUUACUCUGUCACUAAGUAAAAUAAAUACAAACAAAAUAAGCAAUAAUCUACCCCCUUCCUUUCUCCUCUGGUCCCCUCUCUGUCUGCCUGUCACCCCCUCCUCAAUGAGAACGUGGAUCCCUCGUGGCAUUUCUCUGGAGGGAUGGCCCAGGCUUUCCCAGCCCAUGCACUCUCAGCCAGAUCAUUUGCCUGCGGUCCCAUGGCCGUCUCCAAAAUGUGCUCUCCUCCAAAGACUAGUUUUGCUGAUUGUCUUUGUUGCAAACUGUUUUUCUCCACACUACGCAAUUGGCAUUGCCUUUUUCAAAGUAUAUAUUUGUUUUUAUUUGCCAAAUCCACUUGAAUAUACUCAGCUUUACUAUGGAGUUUG
ensembl:lncRNA LINC02706 long intergenic non-protein coding RNA 2706